rnacentral:rRNA from 1 species
GUUAGGAAUCUUGGGCAAUGGGCGCAAGCCUGACCCAGCCAUGCCGCGUGUGUGAAGAAGGCCUUCGGGUUGUAAAGCACUUUCAGUGGUGAAGAAAAGCCUGGGGCUAAUAUCCCCGGAUCUUGACGUUAACCACAGAAGAAGCACCGGCUAACUCCGUGCCAGCAGCCGCGGUAAUACGGAGGGUGCGAACGUUAAUCGGAAUUACUGGGCGUAAAGCGCGCGUAGGCGGUUCGACAAGUGGGAUGUGAAAGCCCUGGGCUCAACCUGGGAACUGCAUUCCAAACUAUCGGGCUAGAGUAUGGUAGAGGGAGGUGGAAUUUCCUGUGUAGCGGUGAAAUGCGUAGAUAUAGGAAGGAACACCAGUGGCGAAGGCGACUACCUGGACUGAUACUGACACUGAGGUGCGAAAGCGUGGGGAGCAA